rnacentral:rRNA from 1 species
AUUGAACGCUGGCGGCAGGCCUAACACAUGCAAGUCUAGCGAGCGGCGGACGGGUGAGAAAUGUCUGGGAAACUGCCUGAUGGAGGGGGAUAACUACGGGAAACGGUAGCUAAGACCGCAUAACAUCAGAUUUGACCAGAUGGUAUUAGCUAGUAGGUGGGGUAACGUCUCACCUAGGUGACGGUCCAUAGCUGGUCUGAGAGGAUGACCAGCCACAUUGGAACUGAGACACGGUCCAGACGCGUACGGGAGGCAGCAUGGGGGAAUAUUGCACAAUGGGCGCAAGCCUGAUGCAGCCAUGCCGCGUGUGUGAAGAAGGCCUUCGGGUUGUAAAGCACUUUCAGCGGGGAGGCGUUACCCACAGAAGAAGCACCGGCUAACUCCGUGCCAGCAGCCGCGGUAAUUC